GAUGAACGCUGGCGGCGUGCCUAAUACAUGCGAGUCGAGCGAACAGACGAGGAGCUUGCUCCUCUGACGUUAGCGGCGGACGGGUGAGUAACACGUGGAUAACCUACCUAUAAGACUGGGAUAACUUCGGGAAACCGGAGCUAAUACCGGAUAAUAUAUUGAACCGCAUGGUUCAAUAGUGAAAGACGGUUUUGCUGUCACUUAUAGAUGGAUCCGCGCCGCAUUAGCUAGUUGGUAAGGUAACGGCUUACCAAGGCGACGAUGCGUAGCCGACCUGAGAGGGUGAUCCGCCACACUGGAACUGAGACCCGGUCCCGACUCCUACGGGAGGCCGCCGUAGGGAAUCUUCCGCAAUGGGCGAAAGCCUGACGGAGCAACGCCGCGUGGGUGAUGAAGGUCUUCGGAUCGUAAAACUCUGUUAUUAGGGAAGAACAAAUGUGUAAGUAACUAUGCACGUCUUGACGGUACCUAAUCAGAAAGCCACGGCUAACUACGUG
rnacentral:rRNA from 1 species